ACAAAAGUAAGAGAAACAAUGAUGUAUAAUUAAGCAUGCUUGGUGAUCUCAAACCAAUCACAAGGAGUCCACCCAAAGGCAAAGGGAACCAAAAUGCUCACGAUCCUUGAGGCUGUGCAAAUGCAAUGUUAGGAUGCCAUGAGGAUCUUAGGGUCAAAAUUGGGGUCUUACAUUAUCCUUUAAUGGUGAGGGUUUAGGGUUGCCGAAUAAAAUCUUGCGCAUCAUGUCCCUAUUUUGAGCAAGAGAGCUUCUAUUUAUAGGCCAAUGGGACUGAUAUUUGCACACUUCCAUUUUUGGCAAAACUUGAAAAUCUCUCUUGCAUGCUUACAUGGGCGUGUGAUAGGCCCAUCAAGUGAUGCACUUAGGUCCAAAGUUGAGUGUAAGCCAGUUGAAAUCAUGUGGUCAAGCCAUGCGUUCGUGUAUGAAAAGUGGAACUUGAUAUUAUCCAAAUGGUCCUUCAACUUUAACCCAUGCGCAAGUCAUUCAUCCUUUGUCCAAAUGAGAUGAUUUGGACUUUUUGGAAAGGUUAGAUCAAGAGGAAUAACUUAAUGUUGAAUACUUUUCAUUUGAAGCUUUGAAUCAUGAUGAAUUUUGAGGUGGAAAUUUGGAAAAUCAAACAUAUCAAAAAAUUAUAAGUACCAAGCCAUAUGUUCACUUCUUCCACCUUGAAUAACUGUUUCUAUGGGCUUAAAUGAGAAAGGUUCCUUAAUCAAAGUUGUAGCUAUUCCAAUCCAUUAAAAUAGGUCAAAAAUGUGACCUCAUUUGGAUUUGGGGUGAAGGAGUUAUGAAUUUUAUAACUUGAGGAAAAUCACUUGUUCAAUGGUAUUGGCCCAAAAUGACCUAUAAUGUUUCCUCUUGGCACAUGCGUUGCAAGUUGAGUUUGCACUUCCUCCAAACAUCAAAGUUGAAGUAGACAUCUUGAAUUUGAUCAUGCAAUUUCAAUUGCUUUCAUAUCAUAUAAAAUGAGCAAUUUAAGGUCUUGGGAAGUUGACCUCCAAACUAGGGUUCAAACAAAAUGACCUAUAAUCUUUCACCAUGAAAAAUGACUUUCCACGCAAAACUAGCUCUUGACCUCAACAUGAAAGUUGUUUGGAAUGUUAUCUAGAGUAACGUUUCUCUUGGAAUUAGUUUCAUAUGAUACAAACUGUAGUAGAUAGGGUCUAGGGAACCACAAUUUUGACUAGUUGAAUUCCUCUAGUCAAACACCAUGAACCAACUUGCUAGCUUGAUAUUCUCUUGACUUUUGGGACUUAUGGAGGAUAAUAUAUGCAUAAGAUGAUGAAAUGUGAAGUAUACCUUGA
rnacentral:lncRNA from 1 species